rnacentral:misc_RNA from 1 species
GAUGAAGAACGUAGCGAAAUGCGAUAAGUAAUGCGAAUUGCAGAAUCCGUGAGUCAUCGAAUCUUUGAACGCACAUUGCGCCCCUUGGUAUUCCAUGGGGCAUGCCUGUUCGAGCGUCAUCUACAACCCUCAAGCCCUGCUUGGUGUUGGGCGUCUGUCCCGCCCCCGCGCGCGGACUCGCCCCAAAUCCAUCGGCGGCGGCCCUUGCCUCCCUCUCGCGCAGCACAUUGCGCUUCUCGAGGCGUCGCGGGCCGCGCUCCACGAAGCACGCAAACCAGUCUUUGACCUCGGAUCAGGUAGGGAUACCCGCUGAACUUAAGCAUAUCAAUAAGCGGAGGA